UAAAGUGGAGAAUCUAAAAGGCCGGAUAUCUAAGGUUUCAGGGUAAAGCUGAUCUUCCCUGGGUAAGUCGGGCUUAAGGCGAGGACGAAAGUCGUAGUCGAUGGAUAACAGGUUGAAAUUCCUGUACUGCUUAUGAACAGAACUGUGGGGACGCAGAAGGAGAGCACGAGCCGGGAAAUGGAAAAGCCGGUACAAGCGUAUAGCAGUCACAUAGGAAAAUCCGUGUGAGAAAUGUAAAGCGCGAUGUGGAUCGAACAUUAGUAGAGAAGCGUGUGAGCCAGCUGCCAAGAAAAGCCGCUAUUGUUUCAUGAGUACCCGUACCGUAAACCGACACAGGUGGAUGAGGAGAGAAUCCUAAGGCCGGCGGGAGAAGUGUUGUUAAGGAACUCGGCAAAAUGACUCCGUAACUUCGGGAGAAGGAGUGCCAUAGAAAUAUGGCCGCAGAGAAAUGGCCCAAGCAACUGUUUAGCAAAAACACAGGUCUAUGCAAAACCGAAAGGUGAGGUAUAUGGGCUGACGCCUGCCCGGUGCUGGAAGGUUAAGAGGAGAGGUUAGAGCAAUCGAAGCUUUGAAUUUAAGCCCCAGUAAACGGCGGCCGUAACUAUAACGGUCCUAAGGUAGCGAAAUUCCUUGUCGGGUAAGUUCCGACCCGCACGAAAGGCGUAAUGAUUUGGGCACUGUCUCAACAACACACCCGGUGAAAUUGAAAUACCAGUGAAGAUGCUGGUUACCUGCGCCAGGACGGAAAGACCCCAUGGAGCUUUACUCCAGUUUGAUACUGGGAUUCGGUACUGUCUGUACAGGAUAGGUGGGAGGCUAGGAAAUGGUGACGCCAGUUGCCAUGGAGCCAACCUUGGGAUACCACCCUUACAGUACUGGGUUUCUAACCUGCAGCCGUGACCCGGCUGGGGGACAAUGUCUGACGGGGAGUUUGACUGGGGCGGUCGCCUCCGAAAGAGUAUCGGAGGCGCUCAAAGGUUCCCUCAGAACGGUUGGAAACCGUUCGAAGAGUGCAAAGGCAGAAGGGAGCUUGACUGCGACACCGACGGGUGGAGCAGAUACGAAAGUAGGACUUAGUGAUCCGGUGGUAUAAAGUGGGAUUGCCAUCGCUCAACGGAUAAAAGCUACCCUGGGGAUAACAGGCUUAUCACUCCCAAGAGUUCACAUCGACGGAGUGGUUUGGCACCUCGAUGUCGGCUCAUCGCAUCCUGGAGCUGUAGCAGGUUCCAAGGGUUGGGCUGUUCGCCCAUUAAAGCGGUACGCGAGCUGGGUUCAGAACGUCGUGAGACAGUUCGGUCCCUAUCCGGCGUGGGCGUAGGAUAUUUGAGAGGAGCUGUCCUUAGUACGAGAGGACCGGGAUGGACAAACCUCUGGUGUAUCUGUUGUUUUACCAAAGGCAUGGCAGAGUAGCCAAGUUUGGCAGGGAUAAACGCUGAAGGCAUCUAAGCGUGAAGCCCCCCUCAAGAUAAGAUAUCCCAUCUUCGGAGUAAGACCCCUUGAAGACUACAAGGUUGAUAGGCUUUGAGUGUAAGUGCGGUAACGCACUGAGCUGAGAAGUACUAAUAGGUCGAGGACUUAUCCUU
rnacentral:rRNA from 1 species